UCGCCCAGCUCGUCAUGCUAGAGCACUUUUACAAUAUGCUCCCCAACGAGAAGGCGACGAUAUGGAUGUCAAUCUAUAUCAACUUUCGAUGCCAUUGACUGCGCUUACCAUGCUGACCACGGGUAAUGGGGAGUCAGGGUUCGAUUAUGCACAGGGACCCUGACAAACGGCUACCACAUGCAAGGAAGGCAGCAGAAGUGCAAAUGACCCACUCCCGACUCGGGAAGGUAGUGACGA